UACGAAGGGUGCAAGCGUUAUUCGGAAUCAUUGGGCGUAAAGCGCGCGCAGGCGGAUUGAUAAGUCAGGUGUGAAAUCUCGAGGCUCAACCUCGAAACUGCGCCUGAAACUAUUAGUCUAGAGUGUUGGAGGGGGUAGGGGAAUUUCACGUGUAGGGGUAAAAUCCGUAGAGAUGUGAAGGAACACCGGAGGCGAAGGCGCCUACCUGGACAACUACUGACGCUGAGGCGCGAAAGCGUGGGGAGCAAACAGG
rnacentral:rRNA from 1 species